CGAAUGCUGACAUAAGUAACGAUAAAGCGGGUGAAAAGCCCGCUCGCCGGAAGACCAAGGGUUCCUGUCCAACGUUAAUCGGGGCAGGGUGAGUCGACCCCUAAGGCGAGGCCGAAAGGCGUAGUCGAUGGGAAACAGGUUAAUAUUCCUGUACUUGGUGUUACUGCGAAGGGGGGACGGAGAAGGCUAUGUUGGCCGGGCGACGGUUGUCCCGGUUUAAGCGUGUAGGCUGGUUUUCCAGGCAAAUCCGGAAAAUCAAGGCUGAGGCGUGAUGACGAGGCACUACGGUGCUGAAGCAACAAAUGCCCUGCUUCCAGGAAAAGCCUCUAAGCAUCAGGUAACAUCAAAUCGUACCCCAAACCGACACAGGUGGUCAGGUAGAGAAUACCAAGGCGCUUGAGAGAACUCGGGUGAAGGAACUAGGCAAAAUGGUGCCGUAACUUCGGGAGAAGGCACGCUGAUAUGUAGGUGAAGUCCCUCGCGGAUGGAGCUGAAAUCAGUCGAAGAUACCAGCUGGCUGCAACUGUUUAUUAAAAACACAGCACUGUGCAAACACGAAAGUGGACGUAUACGGUGUGACGCCUGCCCGGUGCCGGAAGGUUAAUUGAUGGGGUCAGCGCAAGCGAAGCUCUUGAUCGAAGCCCCGGUAAACGGCGGCCGUAACUAUAACGGUCCUAAGGUAGCGAAAUUCCUUGUCGGGUAAGUUCCGACCUGCACGAAUGGCGUAAUGAUGGCCAGGCUGUCUCCACCCGAGACUCAGUGAAAUUGAACUCGCUGUGAAGAUGCAGUGUACCCGCGGCAAGACGGAAAGACCCCGUGAACCUUUACUAUAGCUUGACACUGAACAUUGAGCCUUGAUGUGUAGGAUAGGUGGGAGGCUUUGAAGUGUGGACGCCAGUCUGCAUGGAGCCGACCUUGAAAUACCACCCUUUAAUGUUUGAUGUUCUAACGUUGACCCGUGAUCCGGGUUGCGGACAGUGUCUGGUGGGUAGUUUGACUGGGGCGGUCUCCUCCUAAAGAGUAACGGAGGAGCACGAAGGUUGGCUAAUCCUGGUCGGACAUCAGGAGGUUAGUGCAAUGGCAUAAGCCAGCUUGACUGCGAGCGUGACGGCGCGAGCAGGUGCGAAAGCAGGUCAUAGUGAUCCGGUGGUUCUGAAUGGAAGGGCCAUCGCUCAACGGAUAAAAGGUACUCCGGGGAUAACAGGCUGAUACCGCCCAAGAGUUCAUAUCGACGGCGGUGUUUGGCACCUCGAUGUCGGCUCAUCACAUCCUGGGGCUGAAGUAGGUCCCAAGGGUAUGGCUGUUCGCCAUUUAAAGUGGUACGCGAGCUGGGUUUAGAACGUCGUGAGACAGUUCGGUCCCUAUCUGCCGUGGGCGCUGGAGAACUGAGGGGGGCUGCUCCUAGUACGAGAGGACCGGAGUGGACGCAUCACUGGUGUUCGGGUUGUCAUGCCAAUGGCACUGCCCGGUAGCUAAAUGCGGAAGAGAUAAGUGCUGAAAGCAUCUAAGCACGAAACUUGCCCCGAGAUGAGUUCUCCCUGACUCCUUGAGAGUCCUGAAGGAACGUUGAAGACGACGACGUUGAUAGGCCGGGUGUGUAAGCGCAGCGAUGCGUUGAGCUAACCGGUACUAAUGAACCGUGAG
rnacentral:rRNA from 1 species